AACGUAGGAGGCAAGCGUUAUCCGGAGUUACUGGGCGUAAGGCGCAUGUAGGCGGUUGGGCAAGUGGCGUGUGAAAGCUCCCGGCUAAACUGGGAGAGGACACGUCAGACUGUCCGGCUAGAGGCAGAUAGAGGGGCGCAGAAUUCGGGGUGUAGCGGUGAAAUGUGUAGAGAUCCCGAGGAAUACCAGUGGUGAAGACGGCGCCCUGGGUCUGUACUGACGCUGAGAUGCGAAAGCGUGGGGAGCGAACGGG
rnacentral:rRNA from 1 species